AAUUUCGUUUUCUCUCAAGUGUAUAUGAACUCUUUGGUUCGUUGGAGUUUCUACUUAAAACAUUCUAUUCAAGUCGCUCAAUCUCUAUGAGGGUGUUUUUUCCAUUCAAAUCAAUGAUAUCUAUGAGUUUUUUUAGAGUAAAUUGCAAAAAUGGUCAAGGUGGUUUACAAAAGCGUCCAGGUUUAAUCAACUAUUUUAGAUCGAUUUAGGUCCCUCAAGUUAACUCCCCUUUUGUCUUUGUCGUCUUGCCUUAGGUACGGAACUCAGAAACAAUUGACAAUGGUGAUGUGUUGUUGUGGUAAAGUGGCGAUGAUGCAUACUUGGUGGACAGAUACCAACCCUAGGAGGCAGUUCUGGUGGUUUCCUAAACCAGUAUGUAAUCAAUUUCAGUUUGUGUUUUACAGUAUAUAUUUGUGGGUUCUCAUAUUUUUGAAAUUUUUCUUAAUUUUUUGAAAGAAUUCUACAUGUGGUUUCUUGGCUGGCUUUGAUCCACCCAUGUGUGUACGAGCAAAGGACACGGUUUCAGUAUUGUUGAAAUCAAUUAAUAAGCUUCGUACAUCGUUAGGGGAAAUGGAGGAUGAAGUUGUACCUGAUAAGCAGCUGGAUUUUCUUCGUGGUUGCCCAUGUUAUGUUGAAAUAGUAUGUAGGUGUUACGGUUUUGUAGUGUAGAUUACUAUUAAACGUGAUUGUAAGGUGUAAUGUCAAGUUUAAGAUUGUUUUGUAGUGUGGUUAUUUUGCUAAAUCAAAUGGUCAUUGUAAAUGUUCAUUGUAAGUCUAUGAUGUAAUAGGAACAAUAUUUUUGCAUCAAUGAAAUGUUUAGGUUCUCUGA
rnacentral:lncRNA from 1 species